rnacentral:rRNA from 1 species
UACGGAGGGUGCGAGCGUUGUUCGGAAUCACUGGGCGUAAAGCGCGUGUAGGCGGCCCAUUAAGUCUGAUGUGAAAGCCCGGGGCUCACCCCCCGGAAGUGCAUUGGAAACUGAUGGACUCGAGUCCCGGAGAGGAGAGUGGAAUUCCUGGUGUAGCGGUGAAAUGCGUAGAUAUCAGGAGGAACACCGGUGGCGAAGGCGGCUCUCUGGACGGUGACUGACGCUGAGGAGCGAAAGCGUGGGGAGCGAACAGGG